GCGGUCGUGGUGAAAUUGGCAGACACACUGUCUUCAGGCGGCAGCGGGGCAACCCUUGGAGGUUCGAGUCCUCUCGACCGCACCA
rnacentral:tRNA from 1 species